rnacentral:lncRNA from 1 species
AGUCUACUUGUAAUAGAAGUUUGGAGGGAAUUCAUUUACAGUAGAGGCUUGAAUGGAAUUUGCUUACAGUAGAUGUCCGGGAUAGACAGCCCGCUGUAGGAGUUCAGAGUAGACCGUUCGUAGUAGAAGUUCGGCUCUCGCGGGAGCUCGAUAGGGAUCCGAAAGAUGAUCGACCGUCGUGGAAACUUGGAUGGAGUCUAGUUACCAUAGAAAUCUCGCUGUCGGGGAAGCUCGGAUGCAGACGAAGUCCGGAAGAAGUUCGAAAAAUAGUUGGUUGCUGUAGAAGGUUGGCUAAUAGUGGGGCCCAGAGGGCCUGUGGAGUGGCCCAAUGGAUGAGUGCAGAAGUUCAUUGUCGGAGAAGUCCGGACGGUCGAGGGGGUUCGGAGAGAUGCCACAC